rnacentral:ncRNA from 1 species
GCACGUCCCAGACCUUUUCCAGUCUGGCAGCUACACCGUUAGAAACCUUGCGUUUGGUGAUUAUGGGCAUAACAUUGGCAAUGCCCUUUUCUCAUGCUUGGUUGCUGUCUGGUAUUAUUCGACAGCUUGUAAUAGUAUCCGUAUAUGCCUACCCUACGCAACUGGGCGUACUCCUUGCAAUGGACUUUUUACAGUUCCUACUUAUCCGGUUUUAACGCUGUUUUAUUGGCGCAAAGGUUUACGGAUAAACAACUAAUAAUUAAACCUUUUGUGUGCGAAACGUGGUUGUUUAACGUACUCUUUAAUCGCUCCGAAGCGAACACACUGUUUUGAUUUUAGGGCAAAACUAUCUUUCGAUUAAAAAACCUUUUUGUUU